rnacentral:rRNA from 1 species
UACGUAGGGUGCAAGCGUUGUCCGGAAUUAUUGGGCGUAAAGAGCUCGUAGGCGGCUUGUCACGUCGGGUGUGAAAGCCCGGGGCUUAACCCCGGGUCUGCAUUCGAUACGGGCUAGCUAGAGUGUGGUAGGGGAGAUCGAAUUCCUGGUGUAGCGGUGAAAAUGCGCAGAUAUCAGGAGGAACACCGGUGGCGAAGGCGGAUCUCUGGGCCAUUACUGACGCUGAGGAGCGAAAGCGUGGGGAGCGAACAGG